rnacentral:rRNA from 1 species
CGGGGGGGUUCCGGUUUCGGUAGUUGGGGUUCGGGGUCGGUUCGUCGCGUAUGCCGUAGAGUUCGGUUGUCCCCCUUAAACGCAUCAGCAAGACCUUUUGCCACCCACGAAGAGGCAACGGGGAAGUGUUUGGCUUGAUAAAACCUUCGUUGGUUCGACGAUCCAUCACUGCUCGCUUGUCCCCUUCCCCCUCCAGAGGGGUGUGGUGGUUGGUCAUGCUUUCUAAACGCCUUAUAAUAUCUUUGACCUCAAAUCAGGUAGGACUACCCGCUGAACUUAAGCAUAUCAAUAAGCGGAGGA